UACCGAUCGUUCGGUAAUUUCUGAACUGUCAAACAACUACCGUAAACUGUAAACCAAAUGGAUCUAACUGAUUGAAAACUACACAUAUUCACAAAAACGAAUGAAGAAAUUUUCAACUAGUGCUCUACUACAGCUGUUAGGUAUUAAACUUCUAAAGUGAACACGUAUUGAAAUAUAGGAACUUUUACAUACUGGAAGAAAUUUUCCAGUGGUCAUUAGACAGAAUAGAAUAAGUCCAAAAGGAAAACGUGAGAUUGUACUAUUUAUUCAAUCCUGCUUUCACCAAUCGACGACGAAUCAAUGGACGAAGGUGCAAAUAGUGAGCCUUUAGCCCCCAAACCUCACCGAAUGGUACAGAGGCUGCCUCCCCCACAAGGAAAAAGGUAUCGAAGAGACCCAGUACCAUGAAUAAUUCCGUUGUUACAUAACAUCUAUUAGCUUUAGGGAUCCCAAGCAAAGUCGAACCGAUUGAUUUUAGAAUUGCUCGUUUUAAUGCGCCAUAUGACAAAUUUAGACAAGUAACCAUACUUUCCAAUCACCUAACAAAUCUUGAACUUCUUGCCUGUAGCAGAAAUGUGGGGUUCAAUAAAAUCAAAAUUGGAACAAUCAUUAGCAGCAGUAAGUUGUUAAAUUGGUUUUAUUCGGAGCACAACGAGAAAAAAACAACUCAAAAACUUCCUUGGUUAGUGCUAGCAUGGGGGGAAAAAGACUUCGCCGCAUGAAAACUGCUCAUUAAAAUAACCUAUUGAAACGGAACGGAAGUCUUCGGCAAAACUCCGAACACCCUCCCCCUAGAAACGCUUAAACGGACAGCAAAUCCAAUUCAAUCCGUAUCACAACAAACCGGGGAUUCCGCGGGGACAACGAGAACAAAAACGAGUCUCAAAAAAUGCUGCUGCAAAAUACUUGGAGCACAACUUUUUUUCCAUCUUCGACCAGGGACAGUCGAGCGCGACGGAAUCGUAUUAGAAUUAAUUGAAAAUAAAAAGAAGGAAAAAAAAUUUUCUAUCGGACGAGAAAAAGAAAUCCAACUGAAACGAAAUAAUUAUCUCCCGAGAAGUUGUGAAUCGGAGGGAAGAGCAUUGAUGAAUCGUUCAAGUUUUUUUUCAUUCGGUUGUUGUUUUUUUUAUGUCCUUUUGUCUAGUUUAUCAAGGUGUCACAGGACGCCGGAGAACUCGUUAUGAGAAUCUGGAAAGUUAUAACCGUUCACACAAUUGAUUGUCUAGCAAACAAAGGGUCCACAGAAAGUUUGAAUUGUUUGCUUGCAAACUAGGCCCGGGCUUAAUUAUGUCAAUGAUUGCACAGUAAAGUAGAUGGAAGU